GAUGAACGCUAGCGAUAGGCUUAACACAUGCAAGUCGAGGGGCAGCAUGAUCUUAGCUUGCUAAGGUUGAUGGCGACCGGCGCACGGGUGCGUAACGCGUAUGCAACUUGCCUUACAGAGGGGGAUAACCCGUUGAAAGACGGACUAAAACCGCAUACACUUGUAUUAUUGCAUGAUAUUACAAGGAAAUAUUUAUAGCUGUAAGAUAGGCAUGCGUCCCAUUAGCUGGUUGGUGAGGUAACGGCUCACCAAGGCGACGAUGGGUAGGGGAACUGAGAGGUUUAUCCCCCACACUGGUACUGAGACACGGACCAGACUCCUCCGGGAGGCAGCAGUGAGGAAUAUUGGUCAAUGGGCGAGAGCCUGAACCAGCCAAGUCGCGUGAAGGAAGACAGUCCUUGGGAUUGUAAACUUCUUUGAUACUGGAAUAACGGGCGAUACGAGUAUUGCAUUGAAUGUACCGUAAGAAUAAGCAUCGUGUAACUCCGUGCCUGCAGCCGCGGUGAUUCGGAGGAUGCGAGCGUUAUCCGGAUUUUUUGGUUUGAAGGGUUCGUUGGUUUUUUGUUUUUUUUUGUGUAACUUGGUGUUCAUUUUGUGGCUGUGGUGUUGUGUGUGGUUUGUGUAUGUUGCGUUGUGUGUGAUCUUGUUGAUCGGG
rnacentral:rRNA from 1 species